GCGGUGAUGGUUCAGUGGUAGAAUUCUCACCUUCCAUAUGGGAGACCUGGGUUCGAUUCCCGGCCAAUGCA
rnacentral:tRNA from 1 species